GUUAGAUAUGAUGUUCCUGAGGAACAAGUGUAUCUUGCCCAGUUUCUUGGUCAACCCCGAGCCGCCUGUGGAGCUCAGCCCAGGCUGCGCUGCCAUGACUGGAGCCGGGGAAGGUUGGCUCCUUGUUCCUGCGCUUCCUGAGCUCCCGCGGCCCUUGUGGGACUGCUUUCCGGCCUGCUCCUCCCCUGCGCCUGUGCUCUCCGAGUCCUAGAGGAGCCCGCCCUCCGCGUUACCUGCCACAGUCUUGCGGGUGCCCUCUGUCCCUGUGAACUCCGUGGUCCUGCUGGCCCCCCUGGGGAGGCUGGUGAGCAAGUCGGAAGUAAACCUGGGGUUCUUCUCUGCA